UUGUAUUUUUAGAAGAAUAUACAUUGAACAUGUUUUUACAUAAAUUUUACAAUUUUACAUACAAAUUGAACAUUUUUCUCCCGUUGCAACGCACGGGUCUUUUUGCUAGUAUGUUCAAAAAGGAGAAAAAAAUCCCAACAUCCGGGCAUUAACUUCCCGCAACUCCCGCAUCUAACCUCUUCCUAAUUUCUCGCCCCACAUGCCUCCCGAUUCCAUUCGCCGCCAACAGCACGCACAGGCCCAAGCUCGCCUCGCCCAGAUCCCUUCCACCACCCCCGCCUCCAUCGCCCAUCGUCGUUGUGUAUCGUGGACACCUCAUCGGUCAGUCCUCUUCCUCUACUCCCCACCACAUCGUCUGUUCAUUGAUCUACCGAGCUGCUAAUUCUGCAUGACAAUCAUGGCCGUGAUCUGCCGAGGUGCUAAUUCUCCACGACACCACGACCAUGAUCCGCCAAGGCCGAUGUGAGCGGGCACCAACAAUCGUGAGCAAGAAGUUUGAUGGCCGUUCCCUUUGGCAUGUAGGUGGCCGUGAUGCCCAUCCCAGCAGGGAGGAUGGAUAGGCAUCGGGCAAUCACCAAGUGACAGGAUAAUGCUCCCUUCUCCUGGAGUGCCAUCCCUUCUCGACAGCGACCAGAGCACGCCCGGCCGGUUGCACAUCGGCUUCACGUCCUCGCGCCGCUCCAUGCAUGCCAAUCCUUCUUAGUGCCGCUAACCAUGGCGAUAAAGGAAGCAUGCCUACCAUGCACUUCCAGCAUUGGCAGGACGCACGUCCGACAUCAAAUAGAAGCACGAUUACAAUCGCAACGAAGCACGACCAACUUCUCCAUACCAAGUUCCCUAAUGUUGAGUUCCCAUAUUUUUCAUGCAUAUAAUUAUAUGGUGAUGAAUUUUUGCCUUAACCGAGUUCCCAUAACAUGUUUUUACUCUAGUGUGUCUUUUAUGUAUGUUGUGAGAAAAUGAAGAUAUUACAUCCUAGCAACCAUGCUUCAUAGAUUAUUGCAUAUGAUUCUAUGGUGAUGAAUUUUUGCUUCCACCAUUGUAAGUGUGUGCUACUCUGACUGUACAUUUUUUUUGCUUCAACCAUUAUCCGAUACUAGUGUCUCUUCAACCACUACUACUCUCUGCUUCAACCAUUUGCUUUUGUUCAUGAAUUUCAUUAUACAACCAUAUUGCUUUAUUUAGUGGAUUUUUGUACAAGCUACUAAAUUUUGUGCUUCCUUCUUUCUCACUGAAUGCUUCAGUUGUACAGAUUCCCAAUAAUGAUGCAAUGUGUGUUGAUUACUAGACCAACCGGGCUCUAAGUUGUCGGUUCUACGACGAGCGAUGCAGAGCUCAUGGCAAACACAGACAUUGUCAUGAUCGGAUUGCCGCCCUCCGCUAUGACGACUACAACAAAAUGAAAUUAUUGUUGUAAUAGUAUUUUACUAUUGUUGUAAAUGAAUUUGUAAAUUUGUGUUCACAAAGUAUUAGUCUGUUUCAAUGUAUCAUCAUACAUGUCCUGCUGCCACAUGGUUUGUGAAGCAGAAAAAAUCUGUAUACGAAAAGAUCGUUUCGUUUGCAAUUUUAUUACUA